GACUACAGGGGUAUCUAAUCCUGUUCGAUCCCCACGCUUUCGUGCCUCAGCGUCAGUAUCGCCUUAGUAAGCUGCCUUCGCAAUUGGUGUUCUGUGCCAUAUCUAAGCAUUUCACCGCUACACGGCACAUUCCGCCUACUUCAAGCGCACUCAAGAGCGCCAGUAUCAAUGGCAAGUCUACAGUUGAGCUGCAGGAUUUCACCACUGACUUAACGCUCCGCCUACGCACCCUUUAAACCCAAUGAAUCCGGAUAACGCUUGCACCCUUCGUAUUACCGCGGCUGCUGGCACGAAGUUAGCCGGUGCUUAUUCCUCCGGUACCGUCAACCCUCGACACGUCGAGGGGUUUCUUCCCGGAUAAAAGCAGUUUACAACGCGUAGCGCCUUCUUCCUGCACGCGGCAUGGCUGCGUCAGAGUUGCCUCCAUUGCGCAAUAUUCCUCACUGCUGCCCCCCGUAGG
rnacentral:rRNA from 1 species